AUUGAACGCUGGCGGCAGGCUUAACACAUGCAAGUCGAGCGGAGUGAUGGUGCUUGCACUAUCACUUAGCGGCGGACGGGUGAGUAAUGCUUAGGAAUCUGCCUAUUAGUGGGGGACAACAUCUCGAAAGGGAUGCUAAUACCGCAUACGUCCUACGGGAGAAAGCAGGGGAUCACUUGUGACCUUGCGCUAAUAGAUGAGCCUAAGUCGGAUUAGCUAGUUGGUGGGGUAAAGGCCUACCAAGGCGACGAUCUGUAGCGGGUCUGAGAGGAUGAUCCGCCACACUGGGACUGAGACACGGCCCAGCCUCCUACGGGAGGCAGCGGUGGGGAAUAUUGGACAAUGGGGGGAACCCUGAUCCAGCCAUGCCGCGUGUGUGAAGAAGGCCUUAUGGUUGUAAAGCACUUUAAGCGAGGAGGAGGCUCUUUUGGUUAAUACCCAAGAUGAGUGGACGUUACUCGCAGAAUAAGCACCGGCUAACUCUGUGCCAGCCGCCGCGGUAA
rnacentral:rRNA from 1 species